GGCGGCGUAGCUCAGCUGGUUAGAGCAUACGGCUCAUACCCGUAGGGUCGACCGUUCGAAUCGGUCCGCCGCUA
rnacentral:tRNA from 3 species